UGAGGAACAUGACCUUCGGCGGGGGAUAGCCGGCCCAACGGCCGGGUAAUACCGCGUACGACCACAUGGGGACAUCCCUGAGUGGUGAAAGCAGCAAUGCGCCGAUGGAGUGCCUCGCGGCCUAUCAGCUAGUUGGUGAGGUAACGGCUCACCAAGGCGACGACGGGUANCUGGUCUGAGAGGAUGGCCAGCCACAUUGGGACUGAGAUACCGGCCCAGACCUCUACGGGGAGG
rnacentral:rRNA from 1 species